rnacentral:rRNA from 1 species
AUUGAACGCUGGCGGCAUGCCUUACACAUGCAAGUCGAACGGCAGCACGGGUGCUUGCACCUGGUGGCGAGUGGCGAACGGGUGAGUAAUGCAUCGGAACGUACCCGGAAGUGGGGGAUAACUCUCCGAAAGGAGUGCUAAUACCGCAUAUUCUGUGAGCAGGAAAGCAGGGGAUCUUCGGACCUUGUGCUUCCGGAGCGGCCGAUGUCAGAUUAGGUAGUUGGUGGGGUAAAAGCCUACCAAGCCGACGAUCUGUAGCGGGUCUGAGAGGAUGAUCCGCCACACUGGGACUGAGACACGGCCCAGACUCCUACGGGAGGCAGCAGUGGGGAAUUUUGGACGAUGGGCGCAAGCCUGAUCCAGCAAUGCCGCGUGCAGGAAGAAGGCCUUCGGGUUGUAAACUGCUUUUGUACGGAACGAAACGGUCCUGGUUAAUACCCGGGGCUAAUGACGGUACCGUAAGAAUAAGCACCGGCUAACUACGUGCCAGCCGCCGCCGUAAUAC